rnacentral:rRNA from 1 species
UAAGGAAUAUUGGUCAAUGGACGGAAGUCUGAACCAGCCAUGCCGCGUGCAGGAAGACGGCCCUACGGGUUGUAAACUGCUUUUGUACCGGAAUAAACCUUCCUACGUGUAGGGAGCUGAAUGUACGGUAAGAAUAAGGAUCGGCUAACUCCGUGCCAGCAGCCGCGGUAAUACGGAGGAUCCAAGCGUUAUCCGGAUUUAUUGGGUUUAAAGGGUGCGUAGGCGGCUUAUUAAGUCAGGGGUGAAAGGCGGUAGCUUAACUAUCGGAGUGCCCUUGAUACUGAUGAGCUUGAAUACAGUUGAGGUAGGCGGAAUGUGACAAGUAGCGGUGAAAUGCAUAGAUAUGUCACAGAACACCGAUUGCGAAGGCAGCUUACUAAAGUGUGAUUGACGCUGAGGCACGAAAGCGUGGGGAUCAAACA